rnacentral:rRNA from 1 species
GACGUACGCUGGCGGCGUGCUUAACACAUGCAAGUCGAACGGAAAGGCCCUGCUUUUGUGGGGUGCUCGAGUGGCGAACGGGUGUGUAACACGUGAGUAACCUGCCCUUGACUUUGGGAUAACUUCAGGAAACUGGGGCUAAUACCGGAUAGGAGCUCCUGCUGCAUGGUGGGGGUUGGAAAGUUUCGGCGGUUGGGGAUGGACUCGCGGCUUAUCAGCUUGUUGGUGGGGUAGUGGCUUACCAAGGCUUUGACGGGUAGCCGGCCUGAGAGGGUGACCGGCCACAUUGGGACUGAGAUACGGCCCAGACUCCUACGGGAGGCAGCAGUGGGGAAUAUUGCACAAUGGGCGGAAGCCUGAUGCAGCAACGCCGCGUGCGGGAUGACGGCCUUCGGGUUGUAAACCGCUUUCGCCUGUGACGAAGCGUGAGUGACGGUAAUGGGUAAAGAAGCACCGGCUAACUACGUG